rnacentral:rRNA from 1 species
AAGGUUGACCUCGGAUCAGGUAGGAUUACCCGCUGAACUUAAGCAUAUCAAUAAGCGGAGGA